CAACACAAAGAAUGACGGAGGAGAGAAAAUGCUAUGCAGAAGUGAUAGUCAAGAUGAAGAUGUGGGAGAGGAGCAGCCCCCAGUAUAUAUUCAGUGUGUCCUCUGAAGUAACAACCAUCCCAUCUGGCUGAGAAGUGAUGGACACGGCUCCUUAACCACACUGUACCCUCUGUUCUUGGCACCUCUCUACCAGAAAGAUAUCGACAAAUUGGAUGGAAUUCAGAGAACAGUAAGAAAAAUGAUUAAAGAGAUGGAGGCAGUGACUUAUGAGGAAAGAUGAAAAGGACUAAAUCUGUAUAGCUUGGCAAAGCAACAACUGAGGUAGCGUAUGAAAACUGUCUACAAGCAUUUGAAGAAUAUAAACACCAAGGGAAGAGAGGGAACUUUUUAGAAUGGUCUGGGGAAUAAGCAGAUUAAGAGGACAGAAUUGAAGAAAGGAGAGAGAUAUGCUAAGUUGGGG
rnacentral:lncRNA from 1 species